rnacentral:rRNA from 1 species
AUACGGAGGGUGCAAGCGUUAUUCGGAAUCACUGGGCGUAAAGGACGCGUAGGCGGGUUGGCAAGUCAGAUGUGAAAUCCUACAGCUUAACUGUAGAACUGCAUAUGAAACUGCUAACCUAGAGUAUGGGAGGGGGAGAUGGAAUUAGUGGUGUAGGGGUAAAAUCCGUAGAUAUCACUAGGAAUACCGAAAGCGAAGGCGAUCUCCUGGAACAUAACUGACGCUAAGGCGUGAAAGCGUGGGGAGCAAACAGGAUUAGAAACCCUAGUAGUCC